rnacentral:rRNA from 1 species
CCUACGGGUGGCAGCAGUCGAGAAUCAUUCACAAUGGGGGAAACCCUGAUGGGGCGACGCCGCGUGGGGGAAUGAAGGUCUGCGGAUUGUAAACCCCUGUCAUGUGGGAGCAAAUUAAAAAGAUAGUACCACAAGAGGAAGAGACGGCUAACUCUGUGCCAGCAGCCGCGGUAAUACAGAGGGCUCAAGCGUUGUUCGGAAUCACUGGGCGUAAAGGGUGCGUAGGCGGUUUCGUAAGUCGUGUGUGAAAGGCGCGGGCUCAACCCGCGGACGGCACAUGAUACUGCGAGACUAGAGUAAUGGAGGGGGAACCGGAAUUCUCGGUGUAGCAGUGAAAUGCGUAGAUAUCGAGAGGAACACUCGUGGCGAAGGCGGGUUCCUGGACAUUAACUGACGCUGAGGCACGAAGGCCAGGGGAGCGAAAGGGAUUAGAUACCCCAGUAGUC